UACGAAGGGUGCAAGCGUUACUCGGAAUUACUGGGCGUAAAGCGUGCGUAGGCGGUUUGUUAAGUCUGAUGUGAAAGCCCUGGGCUCAACCUGGGAAUGGCAUUGGAUACUGGCAACCUAGAAUGUGGUAGAGGGUGGCGGAAUUCCCGGUGUAGCAGUGAAAUGCGUAGAUAUCGGGAGGAACAUCCGUGGCGAAGGCGGCCACCUGGACCAACAUUGACGCUGAGGCACGAAGGUCAGGGGAGCAAACGGG
rnacentral:rRNA from 1 species